ACUCACAGCUGCUCCCUGAGGAGCUUGGGUACCUCACGGUGGGCCGGCUCCACCAGGCAAGGCCACCACUGAUGCACCAGGAGCAGGCUCGGGGGCGGGGUUCCCCCAGGUGAGGGGCCGGCCAAGGCUCAGGAUGGAGCCUCUCGCCUGGUCCCAGGGCCCUGCCUGCUUGUCUUGACUCCUCGCUGUGCCCAGGGCUCUGCUCCUGGGGAUGGGUCCAGACCUCACCCCUAGGGUCGCCCCAGGUCCUCCCAGCCCCUCCCCCAGGCCCCCAGGGCACUAGCCUUUGUGACACUAGCCUGUGUCACAACUCUGGCUUGUGGUCGCUCUUACAGACACACCCUUAGCUGGGAUGAGUGGGCCUCCUGGACCUUGGUUUGGGGAGGGAAAUGGGCUGUGGCCCACGUUAACCUAAAUAGCACAUUGCUCUUAAAAUUCCAGAGUUAUAUUUGAAGCCAGGCCAAGUCCUCCCAGCCUGUGGUGGCUCUGGGCUCUGGGCUCAUCUGAGAACAGCCGGGUGGAGCCUGCGGUGUCCUGAAGGGUGAGCAGGAGGCCAGGGACCCCGCUCACCGAGGCCUCUGCACGGGGAGCCCUCAGGGGCACGUCCAGUCCCCCCAGAUCUGGGAGCCCUCAGGUGGCCUCACUGAGGGACUAGGAAUGCUCUGCUGCCACAGGGCUGUGUGCAGAGGGUGCGCGUCUGCCUGGCAGGGUGAGCUGGGCAGAAGGAGCGUGGGAACGAGGCCUCAGCGGGCAGUCAGUGUUGUGCCCUCCAGCUGGUGAGUGUGUCACACGGUGGCCCGGGGUGGCGCCGAGAUAACCAGAGUGCGUGGCCUCAGCCCGUCCCUGUUGGCCUGGCCCUGCAGUGGGGUGGGGGCUGUGCAGCCUGGGGGUGUGGCUCAGACGCUGACUCGGGAGCCCGGGGAAGCAGCUGGCAGGGAGGUCUGGACAGCUCUCCCAUGGUGUCCCUGUGGCUGCCCUGUGGAGAGGAGCCCGAGGGGCAGCCAAGAGGAGGUGACGGGGCAGGGCCGUGGGUGGGGUGCCUCGGGAAGCAUCCCAAGGUCCAGGAUGGAGGUGUGGGGGAGGGAGUGGAGAGUGACAGCCCAAGGUCCAGGAUGGAGGUGUGGGAGAGGGGGUGGAGA
rnacentral:lncRNA from 1 species